AAUCGAGAAAAUCGAGGUUUGUUUCAACGCAUUUUUUUUUGUUGAUUGAAUUCAACAAAAAAAUUGUUGAUUCAAACCUCGUACAGGCUGAUUCUACAAAACAUCCCAAGUAACCAUUCGGCACUAAAACAAAUCAUUAACCAGCAACAUAUUGGCACUCCAUUGCUAAUCAACCAUUAAACAGCACAUGUUAAUGCGAAACAGCAUUUAUGAAGCUGCACUGAAAAUGCUGAUAUAUGGCUGAUUAGGUGCCGCAGCUAGCAACACUGUCAUGAAAUUUCAAUAAACUGGCAACACGAUUACUAUUUCCUGUGAUGAGUGAAAGAGAGAGCACAUCGAGCAAAACAAACCGAUUGAGAUUCUCGCUCACUCAUCGGAAGAAUAACCAGAGAAGCAGCAAAAUGCUGGUUUAAUUCUGUAAAAAAUCAACGAAAUGAGGAAAGAUCAAGCCGAAAAGCCGUUCGGCCCAUCCCAUAACAUUGGCGCGAUGGCGUUUUCAAGGCUGGUACUCGAAAAAAAAACACGUUUAACCAAAAACAACACCCACGAAGUGCACGGGAUGAACGACCGUGCUAAAAACAUAAGACCUGAUAAUUAGGUUCAAGAUUCUAUCUCUGGUUUUUGGAGUCAAAUGAACAUGCACAGCAAACGUUUCCCGUACAGGCAGGAGGGCAAGGGCUCAGGAACCAACACCGACGACGACUUCUAACAUCUGGCAUCAAAUCUCAAGCAGUGCAACUUCGAUCAAAAAAAGCAUCUCUCUCGGUAAGCUGUAUGUCGGUAAUAUAAUAUAGAUGUAAACAAAUCUAAAAUAGGACGAAAGUGAGUGGGGAAGGAAAAGAAGAGAGAGAGAAAUAUUUUUUUUCCUCUCUCAAAUUUUUGACAUUUUUCGCAGGGUUGGGUAGAGACAGUAGAGGCCAGCACUUAAUCAGCCGAGUAAAGUCCAAACUCGGCCAUUGUUCAGCACUGAAGUAGCUGUUAGUGCUGUUCUCAACGCUGAUCAGCUUUUACUCGCAGCUAUAAAUGCGCAUUAAAUGCUGAACAGUGACACUGUUUUAGUGCUGGAUGUUUACUUGGGGGAUGUUUCUGCGUGAACACUUCGUGCUCAAACUCAACCCACUUCGAAGAAUCAUCACUACCGUAAACUUUUCGCAGUAGGCCUGGCCGCUACAACUUUUGCGAUGUUGCUUGCAGCGGUUCCCCAAGAUUUUACAGCCGCCGGUGGUUCCCUUUUGCACUACCAGACGUGAAGUACGCACCCCUUUUCCGCUUUUAGCUACUCAAAGUACGUAAUGUACUGGUUUGCAUUGAUGAGUAGAGGACUGUUAACCUGACAAAGGAAUGGUUUAGUUUCGCGGGUCAAAUUUCUAGAACAGCGUACAAUACUCACUGCUGUAGUCCUAUCGAAAGUCGAUCGAUCCCGUCCAGACUCCGAAAAGCCCUCACGCAAAAGUCGAAAUUGCGUUCAUCUCUGCGUUUGAUGGGUGUUGAUUAGAGUAGUCAGGUUGUCGCUACUAUAACCCUUGGUGCGAUUGGAUGGGGUCCGCUAGCUCCCCUGCCACUCGUACGUGACACAUCACACGAUCCAAGGAAGCCUUGAUCAGCCGAGUCAGUUUGUCCGGAAAUCCGUUCUCGUGCAUAAUCUGCCAUAGCUGUUCGCGGUCGACUGUAUCGUAUACGCUGCCUUGAAAUCGAUGAAGAUGUGAUGUGUGGGCACGUUGUACUCACGGCAUUUCUCGAGUAUCUACCGGAGCGAGAAAAUUUGGUCCGUGGUGGCCCGACAUCAGUAAACCCCGCUUGAUAGGGGCCCACGAACCUCCGUGCUUUCGGUGUCAGUAGACGGCAGAGGAUCUGGGUGAGGAUUUUAUAGGCCGCGUUGAUAAGCGUGAUACCGCGGUAGUUGCCGCAGUCCAGCUUAUCGCCCUUUUUGUAGAUGGGACACACGACACCAUCCAUCCAUUCAUCUGGAAGUUUCUCCUCCCCCCAGAUCUUAGAAAUCACCAAGUGGAUCGCCCUCGCCAACUGCUCUCCUCCAUAUUUGAAGAGCUCCCCGGGUAACCGAUCUUUACCGGUGGCCCUGUUGUUCUUCAGCUGCCUGAUCUCCUUCUUCACCGUCUCCAGAUCAGGUGCCGGGAACUGUUGGUCAGCAGCGGGCGGUCCAAGUUGCCGUUGAGGUGCUCGUUGAAGAACUGCUGCCACCUGUCCAACACCUCCCCUAAAAAUCUAAAAACCGAGUCAGUUUGUACGGAAAUCCGUUCAACCGUGAAGAUGUGUUGUGUGUUUUGAAAAAUUUUAAUGAGUAAUAAAGUUAAGGACUAUGAUAUUCACGUGCAGCGAACCAAACCACAACAUCGCAAUUACAGUAGAGAGUGCAAUUAUUUUUUUAUUAAACUGGUCCAGUACACACACAUCCUGCCAUGAACUCCCAUCGCCGCCACAGUGCGUUAAUUAACUUAAAUUUAACGCUACUACAAUCCAGUCAGCGUGAAUUCUUUCCGCUCCACAAACGACAACCCGCGCCAACUUGUCAAACACUUGUUUGCCCAUCACUGCGUGUGGAGUCUAUGAUUUGAUGCUCGUCUCAGCGCAUCCUGGCCCAAACGGGUGGCCGCGCGGAGGCAGAAAGAUGUGACUGUUUAAUUGAAAAAGUUUCCAUUCAAGAAGAGUCUCGUCGGUCGUGUGGGACUGACGAUUGGACUCAUGCUGGGAGGGCGCGCGGGCGCGCUCUUUUGCGUAUCUAUUUUAAUUCGGUUCACACUGUUUCUGCAUUUGGCUGUUUAUUGCGCGCGGAUGGUAUAUCUUAAUUCCUCACCGAUAUAAGUUUUUUUUUUGCGUCACGUUAUGGUAGUUUGUUUAUGUGUGUGUGCUGCUGCUGCUGCUUAUGGGAAACAUUAUUAAUAAUAAUAAAGUGAUGAUUGCAGGCAAAGUUAAGCUUGCCGCAAACUUUUGUAAUAAAACUUUCAAGAUUGACGAGAAUAAUAAGCCGCUUCGUUUUUCAUCAUUUACCAUCCGAACGAACCCACGAAGCUUGCGGGCGCGCGCGCAUUGUGUGGCGUCUUUCUCAAGAGUGUAUGAUUUGGAAUUAAUGAGCCCUCCACUGAAUUUAUAUUACACACGCUGUUUACUUCGUUUUUUUUCACUCUGUUGAUCGUCUUGAUGCUCUUUUUUUUUUGUCUACAAGUGCAAUAAUGUUUUGUUGUUUGUUUGUCCCCCUCCCCCCUUCCUCUCGCGAAGGGG